GUGAGGAAUAUUGGUCAAUGGGCGAAAGCCUGAACCAGCCAUGCCGCGUGCAGGAAGACUGCCCUAUGGGUUGUAAACUGCUUUUAUACAGGAAGAAACACUCGGACGUGUCCGAGCUUGACGGUACUGUAUGAAUAAGCACCGGCUAACUCCGUGCCAGCAGCCGCGGUAAUACGGAGGGUGCAAGCGUUAUCCGGAAUCAUUGGGUUUAAAGGGUCCGUAGGCGGAUUAAUAAGUCAGGGGUGAAAUCCCACAGCUUAACUGUGGAACUGCCUUUGAUACUGUUAGUCUUGAGUUAUAUGGAAGUAGAUAGAAUGUGUAGUGUAGCGGUGAAAUGCAUAGAUAUUACACAGAAUACCGAUUGCGAAGGCAGUCUACUACGUAUAUACUGACGCUAAUGGACGAAAGCGUGGGGAGCGAACAGGAUUAGAAACCCUAGUAGUCC
rnacentral:rRNA from 1 species